ACACGUACCGGACGAACGUUAUUCGGAAUCACUGGGCUUAAAGAGUCCGUAGGCGGCUCGGUAGGUGAGGUGUGAAAUCCCACGGCUCAACCGUGGAACUGCGCUUCAAACCACCGGGCUUGAGGGAGAUAGAGGUGAGCGGAACUGAUGGUGGAGCGGUGAAAUGCGUUGAUAUCAUCAGGAACACCGGUGGCGAAAGCGGCUCACUGGGUCUCUUCUGACGCUGAGGGACGAAAGCUAGGGGAGCGAACGGGAUUAGAAACCCGAGUAGUCC
rnacentral:rRNA from 1 species